rnacentral:lncRNA from 1 species
AUUUUAGUUUAGUUUAAUUUAUUUAAUUAUUAUGUAUUUUUAUGGUUUAAUUAUAGCAUUACUGUCAUAUUGUAAAAUGCAUGCAACACAUUUGCUUUUUAAAUCUGUAUUUGUUUUUAUUCUUUGCAUUCUCAGAAUUUAUAAUUCUGUUCUAUCCUCUCAUUUUAUCUUGUACUGCUAAAGAUGACUUCAUGGUUUUAGGAUGCUUGUUGCAUAAUUGAAUGAAGCAUGGCAAAGGAAACAGAUGAGAAUAAAUGCAGGAAUACUAAAGUACUUGUACCUUCUUCACCCCAUCAAAUACAUAUGAGUAUUGAACUGAAUGGGGUGAAUUUGAAAUCUGUGAUGGAGUUUGUAUACUUAGGAAGUAUAUUUGAGAGAGGUUACAUUGAUGAUGAUGAUGAUGAUGAUGAUGAUGAUGAUAUGAGAAGAGUACAGUAUUAAAAAUUUUUGGUGGACUUAAAAGGUAUGUGAGAAAUGAAAAUCUGUUAAAGAAUGCUAGGAUGGCUGUAUAUCAGUAUGUGCUAGUUUCAGCAUUGAUGUAUG